rnacentral:rRNA from 1 species
UACGUAGGGGUGCGAGCGUUAAUCGGAAUUACUGGGCGUAAAGCGUGCGCAGGCGGUGAUUGUGAGGACAGUUGUGAAAUCCCCGGGCUCAACCUGGGAACUGCAUCUGUGACUGCAUCGCUGGAGUGCGGCAGAGGGGGAUGGAAUUCCGCGUGUAGCAGUGAAAUGCGUAGAUAUGCGGAGGAACACCGAUGGCGAAGGCAAUCCCCUGGGCCUGCACUGACGCUCAUGCACGGAAAGCGUGGGGAGCAAACAGGAUUGAGAUACCC